UCCGGCUUAUCACCGGCAGUUUCUCUAGAGUGCCCAACUAAAUGCUGGCAACAUGCGACGGGGGUUGCGCUCGUUGCGGGACUUAACCCAACAUCUCACGACACGAGCUGACGACAGCCAUGCAGCACCUGUGCAAGCUCCCCUUGCGGGGUCGUCCCACUUUCAUGGUUCUACCACUUGCAUGUCAAGGCCAGGUAAGGUUCUUCGCGUUGCAUCGAAUUAAGCCACAUACUCCACCGCUUGUGCAGGCCCCCGUCAAUUUCUUUGAGUUUUAAUCUUGCGACCGUACCCCCCAGGCGGCAUGUUUAUCGCGUUAGCUUCGCCACGGAAGGGGUCGAUUCCUCCCACAGCGAGUAUCCAUCGUUUACGGCGUGGACUAC
rnacentral:misc_RNA from 1 species